rnacentral:lncRNA from 1 species
GGGGCUUGGGUACGGUGGGAUAAACAAAAAAAUUGGAUAACAAAGGGUUUUGAACUCGGUAGUCAUGUUGUGUGAUUUUUCUUUCUCUUUUUUCUCGUGCAUCACGUAUACUCUGGGGGUUAAUUUCACUCUUUUGACUCUUUUUCUACUCAAAUUUUCCGAGCAUUUUAUAUGUGUUAGAGUCUUAAGUCUCGGCAAGUGCAUUUUUCUCUUUUGUUUUUCUUUUCUCUUUUUUUUCUUUUUUUUUUCUUUUAAAGAAAAUACAUACUAUUUUUCUUUUUGUAUGAUCUCUUAUUAUGCAUUUGCCUUCUCUUUCAAGAUUUCCA